GAUGAACGCUGGCGGCGUGCUUAACACAUGCAAGUUGAACGAAGCUCUUUGGACAGAUUCCUUCGGGAUGAAGUACAUUGAGACUUAGUGGCGAACGGGUGAGUAACACGUGAGCAACCAACCCUUGACAGUGGAAUAACAACGGGAAACCGUUGCUAAUACCACAUAAAAUCUUUAUACGGCAUCGUAUUUAGAUCAAAGAUUUAUCGGUCAAGGACGGGCUCGCGUCCGAUUAGGUAGUUGGUAAGGUAACGGCUUACCAAGCCUACGAUCGGUAGCCGGACUGAGAGGUCGAUCGGCCACAUUGGGACUGAGAUACGGCCCAG
rnacentral:rRNA from 1 species